GACGAACGCUGGCGGCGUGCUUAACACAUGCAAGUCGAGCGGUAAGGCCCUUUCGGGGUACGACGAGCGGCGAACGGGUGAGUAACACGUGGGUGACCUGCCCUCAGCUCUGGGAUAAGCCCAGGAAACUAGGGUCUAAUACCGGAUAUGACUCCAUGACGCAUGUUGUGGGGUGGAAAGCCUUGUGCGGCUGAGGAUGGGCCCGCGGCCUAUCAGCUUGUUGGUGGGGUGANGGCCUACCAAGGCGACGACGGGUAGCCGGCCUGAGAGGGCGACCGGCCACACUGGGACUGAGAUACGGCCCAGACUCCUACGGGAGGCAGCAGUGGGGAAGUCUUGCGCAAUGGGCGAAAGCCUGACGCAGCGACGCCGCGUGAGGGAUGACGGCCU
rnacentral:rRNA from 1 species